rnacentral:rRNA from 1 species
GAUGAACGCUGGCGGCGUGCCUAAUACAUGCAAGUCGAGCGAACGGACGAGAAGCUUGCUUCUCUGAUGUUAGCGGCGGACGGGUGAGUAACACGUGGAUAACCUACCUAUAAGACUGGGAUAACUUCGGGAAACCGGAGCUAAUACCGGAUAAUAUUUUGAACCGCAUGGUUCAAAAGUGAAAGACGGUCUUGCUGUCACUUAUAGAUGGAUCCGCGCUGCAUUAGCUAGUUGGUAAGGUAACGGCUUACCAAGGCAACGAUGCAUAGCCGACCUGAGAGGGUGAUCGGCCACACUGGAACUGAGACACGGUCCAGACUCCUACGGGAGGCAGCAGUAGGGAAUCUUCCGCAAUGGGCGAAAGCCUGACGGAGCAACGCCGCGUGAGUGAUGAAGGUCUUCGGAUCGUAAAACUCUGUUAUUAGGGAAGAACAUAUGUGUAAGUAACUGUGCACAUCUUGACGGUACCUAUUCGGAAAGCCACGGCUAACUACGUGCCAGCAGCCGCGGUAAUACGUAGGUGGCAAGCGUUAUCCGGAAUUAUUGGGCGUAAAGCGCGCGUAGGCGGUUUUUUAAGUCUGAUGUGAAAGCCCACGGCUCAACCGUGGAGGGUCAUUGGAAACUGGAAAACUUGAGUGCAGAAGAGGAAAGUGGAAUUCCAUGUGUAGCGGUGAAAUGCGCAGAGAUAUGGAGGAACACCAGUGGCGAAGGCGACUUUCUGGUCUGUAACUGGCGCUGAUGUGCGAAAGCGUGGGGAUCAAACAGGAUUAGAUACCCUGGUAGUCCACGCCGUAAACGAUGAGUGCUAAGUGUUAGGGGGUUUCCGCCCCUUAGUGCUGCAGCUAACGCAUUAAGCACUCCGCCUGGGGAGUACGACCGCAAGGUUGAAACUCAAAGGAAUUGACGGGGACCCGCACAAGCGGUGGAGCAUGUGGUUUAAUUCGAAGCAACGCGAAGAACCUUACCAAAUCUUGACAUCCUUUGACAACUCUAGAGAUAGAGCCUUCCCCUUCGGGGGACAAAGUGACAGGUGGUGCAUGGUUGUCGUCAGCUCGUGUCGUGAGAUGUUGGGUUAAGUCCCGCAACGAGCGCAACCCUUAAGCUUAGUUGCCAUCAUUAAGUUGGGCACUCUAAGUUGACUGCCGGUGACAAACCGGAGGAAGGUGGGGAUGACGUCAAAUCAUCAUGCCCCUUAUGAUUUGGGCUACACACGUGCUACAAUGGACAAUACAAAGGGCAGCGAAACCGCGAGGUCAAGCAAAUCCCAUAAAGUUGUUCUCAGUUCGGAUUGUAGUCUGCAACUCGACUACAUGAAGCUGGAAUCGCUAGUAAUCGUAGAUCAGCAUGCUACGGUGAAUACGUUCCCGGGUCU